UACGGAGGAUGCAAGCGUUAUCCGGAAUUAUUGGGCGUAAAGCGUCCGUAGGUGGCAAUUCAAGUCUGCUGUUAAAGGUUCUGGCUCAACCAGAGACAGGCAGUGGAAACUGAAUAGCUAGAGUACGGUAGGGGCAGAGGGAAUUCCCGGUGUAGCGGUGAAAUGCGUAGAGAUUGGGAGGAACACCGGUGGCGAAAGCGCUCUGCUGGGCCGUAACUGACACUGAGGGACGAAAGCUAGGGGAGCGAAUGGG
rnacentral:rRNA from 1 species